rnacentral:misc_RNA from 1 species
GGCUCUUCUGAUUUUUUUUUUUUAUCCUGUUUUGUGAAGACCUUACGUUAUGAAGAAUAUCUGUGUGUUAAGGUAAUAAUAUUAUUUAUAGCAUUGUCGUUUCUUUUUGCUAUGACCAUCUUUACUAUUAUGAAUUUAGUCCCCCUAGUAUGAUUUGACCGUGUAUAGAUGCAUCAUAAAAUAUCAGCAGUGCCCAGUGCAACGAGUCAAUCUUCAUGCUUUUUUUUCGGUCUCACCAGUCAAAUGUGAUGGUCUAUGAAAUUGCAGCAUAUAUAAGUUUCUCAUGUUUGAGGGUUUAUUUUAGGUUGAAUGCAUGAUGAAACGGGAAGCUGUACUGAUGGACCUUCUAAGAGUCAUCUGCCAUCACUGAGCUAGACUUGCCACGCCAAUUUGAACUGUUCUGAAUAUAUAUAGAAGCUGAUUUGAAAAAUGUUCCAUUUGCAGAUUCUAUCUAUAAACGCGGUGGAAUGGCAUCCAACCAUCCUUUGCUACUAAUUGAACCUUC